rnacentral:rRNA from 1 species
UAGGGAAUAUUGCAAAUGGGCGAAAGGCUGAUGUAGCAACGCCGCGUGUGCGAUGAAGGUCUUCGGAUUGUAAAGCACUUUUUGGAGGGAUGAGGAAGGACAGUACCUCCAGAAUAAGCCUCGGCUAACUACGUGCCAGCAGCCGCGGAAACACGUAGGAGGCAAGCGUUAUUCGGAUUUACUGGGCGUAAAGCGCGUGCAGGCGGUUUGGAAAGUUGGAUGUGAAAGCUCCUGGCUCAACUGGGAGAGGUCGUUCAAUACUUCCAGACUUGAGAGUGGUAGAGGGAGGUGGAAUUCCGGGUGUAGUGGUGAAAUGCGUAGAUAUCCGGAGGAACACCAGUGGCGAAAGCGGCCUCCUGGACCACUUCUGACGCUCAGACGCGAAAGCUAGGGUAGCAAACGG